AGCCUGUGAGGAGCCAAGGGUCCCCCGGGGCAGCCAGCAAGUGCCCCUUGUCCCAGAGAUCUCUGUCACAUGGCGUCACACACCCCCAAGUUCAGACAAGAGUUGGGCAGGAGCCCAAGAGGACAGCGGUACGCGAGGGGGCGGGGCCGGCACAGAGCGCGUGCGCAGCCCUGCAGGUGCCCGAGAUGCUCGUAGUCAUUUUGACUCUGGGGAAGAGCCAGAGGUGGCACGGUGCCACAUCUGGUGAAUGAGGCAGAAGAGGACGCAGCUCAUGGCUUUACCAGCUGCCUUUCCACUGCAUGCACCCAGCAGCUGCAUUUGUUAGAGAACCUGAAGAUGUCCCCCAUCUGUAGACAGCAGAUGACCACUCGCUCCAGAAGCAAGUCCUGCACGCCACAUCUGCGACUAUCAGGACACCCCUCGGGCGCAGCGCCAGCUCCCCUCUGGUGCCCUUGGAAAAGGCUGCGUCCUCCUGGGCCGCUCCACAUCUGGGGCUGGCAACCUGUAGCCCAAGGCCACAUCUGGCUGCUUGUUUUAGCAAAUGACCUUUCACGGGGGCCCGACGGCCCUUAGAGGGACCUUUGUGGUUGCUCCAAGCUGCAAAGGCAGAGCUGGAAAGCUGUGACAGAGACCCUUGGCCAUGAGUCUGAAAUGUUUGCCAGCUUCUUGUUUAUGAGGAAUCGUUUCCGCGCUCUGUGCAGUUAGACUGAAAAUUACAAUGAGUGGAUGAAGGUGUAAAUUACAAAAUUAUCACAGCAGGAGACACAUUGCCACGAAUUUCCCUUAAAAUCCUCCCCCUCACUUCAGACACACUCCUCCCCGCGUCCUGGCCAC